AUUGAACGCUGGCGGCGGGCCUAACACAUGCAAGUCGAGCGAGCGGCGGACGGGUGAGUAAUGUCUGGGAAACUGCCUGAUGGAGGGGGUUAACUACUGGAAACGGUAGCUAAUACCGCAUACCAUCAGAUGUGCCCAGAGGGGCUUAGCUAGUAGGUGGGGUAAUGGUUCACCUAGGCGACGAGCCCUAGCUGGUCUGAGAGGAUGACCGGCCACACUGGAACUGAGACACGGUCCAGACUCCGACGGGAGGCAGCGGAGGGGAAUAUUGAACAAGGGGCGGAAGCCUAAUGCAGCCAUGCCGCGUAUGUGAAGAAGGCCUUCGGGUUGUAAAGCAAGUUCAGCGAGGAGGCGUUACUCGCAGAAGAAGCACCGGCUAACUCCGUGCCAGCAGCCGCGGUAAUAC
rnacentral:rRNA from 1 species